GAUCCUGGCUCAGAUUGAACGCUGCGGCAUGCCUUACACAUGCAAGUCGAACGGCAGCAUGGAAGAGCUUGCUCUUCUGAUGGCGAGUGGCGAACGGGUGAGUAAAGCAUCGGAACGUACCGUGUAGUGGGGGAUAACGUAGCGAAAGUUACGCUAAUACCGCAUACGAUCUAUGGAUGAAAGCGGGGGAUCGCAAGACCUCGCGCGAUUGGAGCGGCCGAUGUCAGAUUAGCUAGUUGGUGGGGUAAAGGCCCACCAAGGCGACGAUCUGUAGCUGGUCUGAGAGGACGACCAGCCACACUGGAACUGAGACACGGUCCAGACUCCUACGGGAGGCAGCAGUGGGGAAUUUUCCGCAAUGGGCGAAAGCCUGACGGAGCAAUACCGCGUGAGGGAAGAAUGCCUAUGGGUUGUAAACCUCUUUUCAGGGAGGAAUAAAAUGACGUGUACCUGAAGAAUAAGCAUCGGCUAACUACGUG
rnacentral:rRNA from 1 species